CUACGGAUGUGAAGUCAUUGAUGCCAUGCUUCCAGGAAAAGCCUCUAAGCUUCAGAUUGUAAGGAAUCGUACCCCAAACCGACACAGGUGGUCGGGUAGAGAAUACCAAGGCGCUUGAGAGAACUCGGGUGAAGGAACUAGGCAAAAUGGUACCGUAACUUCGGGAGAAGGUACGCUCUCGACGGUGAAGUCCCUCGCGGAUGGAGCUAUUGAGAGUCGCAGAUACCAGGUGGCUGCAACUGUUUAUUAAAAACACAGCACUGUGCAAAAUCGCAAGAUGACGUAUACGGUGUGACGCCUGCCCGGUGCCGGAAGGUUAAUUGAUGGGGUUAGACUUCGGUCGAAGCUCUUGAUCGAAGCCCCGGUAAACGGCGGCCGUAACUAUAACGGUCCUAAGGUAGCGAAAUUCCUUGUCGGGUAAGUUCCGACCUGCACGAAUGGCGUAAUGAUGGCCACGCUGUCUCCACCCGAGACUCAGUGAAAUUGAAAUCGCUGUGAAGAUGCAGUGUACCCGCGGCUAGACGGAAAGACCCCGUGAACCUUUACUACAGCUUGGCACUGAACAUUGACCCUACAUGUGUAGGAUAGGUGGGAGGCUUUGAAGCGCAGUCGCUAGAUUGCGUGGAGCCGUCCUUGAAAUACCACCCUUGUAGUGUUGAUGUUCUAACGUCGACCCCUUAUCGGGGUUGCGGACAGUGCCUGGUGGGUAGUUUGACUGGGGCGGUCUCCUCCCAAAGCGUAACGGAGGAGCACGAAGGUGGGCUAAUCACGGUUGGACAUCGUGAGGUUAGUGCAAUGGCAUAAGCCCGCUUGACUGCGAGAAUGACAAUUCGAGCAGGUGCGAAAGCAGGUCAUAGUGAUCCGGUGGUUCUGAAUGGAAGGGCCAUCGCUCAACGGAUAAAAGGUACUCCGGGGAUAACAGGCUGAUACCGCCCAAGAGUUCAUAUCGACGGCGGUGUUUGGCACCUCGAUGUCGGCUCAUCACAUCCUGGGGCUGAAGUCGGUCCCAAGGGUAUGGCUGUUCGCCAUUUAAAGUGGUACGCGAGCUGGGUUUAGAACGUCGUGAGACAGUUCGGUCCCUAUCUGCCGUGGGCGUUGGAGAAUUGAAAGGGGCUGCUCCUAGUACGAGAGGACCGGAGUGGACGAACCUCUGGUGUUCGGGUUGUGUCGCCAGACGCAUUGCCCGGUAGCUAAGUUCGGGAUCGAUAACCGCUGAAAGCAUCUAAGCGGGAAGCGAGCCUUGAGAUGAGUUCUCCCUGAUACUUUAAGUAUCCUAAAGGGUUGUCGUAGACUACGACGUUGAUAGGCAGGGUGUGUAAGCGUUGUGAGGCGUUGAGCUAACCUGUACUAAUUGCCCGUGAGGCUUAACCAU
rnacentral:rRNA from 1 species